UACGUAGGGUGCUAGCGUUGUCCGGAUUUAUUGGGCGUAAAGCGCGCGCAGGCGGUCGCGUAAGUCUGCUGUGAAAUCUCCCUGGCUCAACCGGGAGGGGCGGCGGAGACUGCGGGACUGGAGGGACCUAGAGGCCGGUGGAAUUCCCGGUGUAGUGGUGAAAUGCGUAGAUAUCGUCUGGAACGCCAAUGGUGAAAACACUUGCUGGGGGUGUGCUGACGCUGAGACACGAAAGCCAGGGGAGCAAACGGG
rnacentral:rRNA from 1 species